rnacentral:rRNA from 1 species
UACAGAGGUCUCAAGCGUUGUUCGGAUUCAUUGGGCGUAAAGGGUGCGUAGGCGGCUCCGUAAGUCGGAUGUGAAAUCUCGGGGCUCAACCCUGAAACUGCAUUCGAUACUGCGGUGCUAGAGGACUGGAGAGGAAACUGGAAUUCACGGUGUAGCAGUGAAAUGCGUAGAUAUCGUGAGGAAGACCUGUGGCGAAGGCGGGUUUCUGGACAGAUCCUGACGCUGAGGCACGAAGGCCAGGGGAGCAAACGGG